rnacentral:rRNA from 1 species
AGUGAACGCUGGCGGUAGGCCUAACACAUGCAAGUCGAACGGCAGCACAGUAAGAGCUUGCUCUUACGGGUGGCGAGUGGCGGACGGGUGAGGAAUACAUCGGAAUCUACUUUUUCGUGGGGGAUAACGUAGGGAAACUUACGCUAAUACCGCAUACGACCUACGGGUGAAAGCAGGGGAUCUUCGGACCUUGCGCGAUUGAAUGAGCCGAUGUCGGAUUAGCUAGUUGGCGGGGUAAAGGCCCACCAAGGCGACGAUCCGUAGCUGGUCUGAGAGGAUGAUCCGCCACACUGGAACUGAGACCCGGUCCCGACUCCUACGGGAGGCCGCAGUGGGGAAUAUUGGACAAUGGGCGCAAGCCUGAUCCAGCCAUACCGCGUGGGUGAAGAAGGCCUUCGGGUUGUAAAGCCCUUUUGUUGGGAAAGAAAAGCAGCAGGUUAAUACCCCGCUGUUCUGACGGUACCCAAAGAAUAAGCACCGGCUAACUUCGUG